rnacentral:rRNA from 1 species
CCUACGGGAGGCAGCAGUGGGGAAUAUUGCACAAUGGAGGGAACCCUGAUGCAGCAAAGCCGCGUGAGUGAAGACUUAUCUCGGUAUGUAAAGCUCUAUCAGCAGGGAAGAAAAUGACGGUACCUGACUAAGAAGCACCGGCUAAAUACGUUCCAGCAGCCGCGGUAAUACAUAUGGUGCAAGCGUUAUCCGGAUUUACUGGGUGUAAAGGGAGCGCAGGCGGCGCGGCAAGUCAGAUGUGAAAGCCCGGGGCUAAACCCCGGGACUGCAUUUGAAACUGCCGGGAUAGAGUGGCGGAGAGGCGAGUGGAAUUCCUAGUGUAGCGGUGAAAUGCGUAGAUAGUAGGAGGAACACCAGUGGCGAAGGCGGCUGGCUGGACGAUCACUGACGCUGAGGCUCGAAAGCGUGGGGAGCAAACAGGAUUAGAUACCCCAGUAGUC